UACGAAGGGUGCAAACGUUGCUCGGAAUUAUUGGGCGUAAAGAGCUCGUAGGCGGUUUGUUGCGUCGGCUGUGAAAUCCCGAGGCUCAACCUCGGGUCUGCAGUCGAUACGAGCAAACUAGAGUGUUGCAGGGGAGACUGGAAUUCCUGGUGUAGCGGUGAAAUGCGCAGAUAUCAGGAGGAACACCGGUGGCGAAGGCGGGUCUCUGGGCAACAACUGACGCUGAGGAGCGAAAGCCGUGGGGGAGCGAACAGG
rnacentral:rRNA from 1 species